UUUAACGUACGUAUGUGUUUCACUGAAAUUCUUCGAUUGUUUCGCUACGUUUUACUGAAUUUCUUCAAUUGUUUCACUAUGUUUCACUGAAAUUCUUCGAUUGUUUCACUACGUUUUACUGAAUUUCUUCAAUUGUUUCGCUAUGUUUCACUGAAGUUUUUUCGAUUGUUUCGCUAAAAUUCUUCACUAUUAUUCAUCGAAUCCAAUAUCUCGCGCCCAUCACUAUUUUAACUUCUAAAAUUUUUAUUUCGGUUCGCUAAGUCCAGUUUUGUAAGCAGUUAUUUCACAACCAUCGGUGAUUUCUCACUAUUAUUCAUUGAGUUCUAUGUUUCGCGCCCAUCACAAUUUUAACUUCUAAAUUUUUUAUCCCGGUUCGCUAAGUCCGGUCGCCAUCUAAGAUUAAAGGAUUAAAAGAGUUAUGACCUUUUCCUUCCCUGGUCGAAACAUCUCUGUUUAUUUUAUUCUUUAGCUUUUGAUUCGGAGUACAAAAAUUCUUAAUCUAGUUACACUGAUGGGAGGAGUCUAAACGCAUACUUAUUGGAACCGGCUAUGCGCAGCCAGUCGGACUACGCAUACCAAAACAAAACAAACAUCGGUCGCGUGUCGCUCCAUAUAAACAUGCCCGCGCGACCGAGGUAGGUAGCGUCAUCGAUCGUACAAGUGGAUCGGUGACGAACGAAAUUGAUCAAAGCGGAAUCUAAAAGAAUGAUCAUGACGGUUAGUGGAUAUUGGUUACGGUUCGAAAUAUAAUUAGUGCAUGCGUAGGCAAUAAACACUUCUGUGGGAAAUUAUGGAUUUUGGACAGUGCAUGCGAAGUGCACUUGGGUUUAUUGCCGUGGCUUAAAGUGAUGAGGAUUGCGUCUAUGGAAAUUGAUACUAAGAACAAUCGAUUUCGAUUGUGGGAAUGGAUUCGUUGGAAUGUUGGUUUGGUAUCAGGGAAAUCUGACUAUGGGAAGAUGUUUACGUAAUGAAACUGAAUAUUUGGAUAAGUGUUUGGGACGGUUAUAAAGUUUUGAGUUAUAGACUCAUAAACUUAGGAAAUGGAAAAUUGUUUAUUUUCAGGAUUUAUUAUUUAAUUUAUGGAAUCGUUAAUUAGGAAAGGGAAAGUUAUUAGUGGGUUUAUUUUAAUUACAUGACAAGGGAAAGCGAAAAAUAAGUGAACUGGAAAUAUGGUAUAGAUUUGGAAAAAUAUACCGCAUCCCGACGGGACUUGAACCCGCAAUCUCCCUGUCUCCGGCAUGGUGUUUUGAACAAUUAAACUACGGGGGACGGUGGUACUGUUCCACAAUCUAUAUCGUAUCGUAUUGGUGAUGCUCGUUUUUUUUUUAAAUUUUGAGGCUUUGUAAACUAGGGUUGGUAAACGGCUGGACAGUGCGUACCAGCAGUACACCCGUACUAGUUGGCAUAAAAUAGACCCCAGUGUGGUCCAGAGCAUAAUGCCCAGCAACUCCUAUCCCUACCUCCACGUGGUACCGACUGGGAUACGAGCAACCAAGGGAAGACCGGUGAACCGGUGGGAACUUGGUCGUAUGCUGACAGGGAAGGGGGAGCUGCUCUCCUAGGAGGGCAGCUUGUCCGAGCGUCUGUUCCCCAUGUUAGGGGCGGCUCAAACAGCGUCUGAUCCGGAGUGGACGGCUGAAUUAGGAAAUGCGGCGUCUCGCCAGCUAAACCCAAGCGGCAGCCCCGUCGCGAGACUAGGCAUCCGCAGCCCUAGUAAGGCAGCAUGCCGAAACAUUAAAAUACUACAAACAAUCAAAAACUGAAUACGGACCGGAACAAUUGGCAACGACCUAGGCGACGAAAUAAGGACGACGAUUGGAAGCUCUGUACAUGGAACUGUAGAUCGCUGAACGCCCCGGGUGGCGACCAGAUUCUGCUGGAUCAGCUAGAACCUCGCCACUUCGACAUCGUUGCGCUCCAGGAGCUUUGCCGGAAAGGAGAGAAGGUACGGAGGAUUUGUGGCCGCAGGGCACAGUACUACCAGAGCGGCGGCACAACCAAUGAGCUGGGUACCGGCUUUAUACUGCUGGGCAGGAUGCAGAGUCGUGUGAUCAAGUGGCAGGCGAUCAGCGACAAGUUGUGUUUGUUGAGAAUAAAAUGCCGGUUCUACAACCACACUAUCCUCAAUGUGCACUGCCCCCACGAAGGAAGACCCGAUGCAGAGAAAGAAGAGUUCUACGCACAGCUGGAGAAACUCUACGAUAGCUGCUCGCGUAGAGACAUUAAGAUCGUCAUCGGGGACAUGAACGCGCAGAUCGGUAGGGAAGAAAUGUACAAGCCGGUGAUCGGCCCGCAUAGCCUGCACACCGUGACGAACGACAACGGCCAGAGAUGCGUCAUCUUCGCAGCUUCCCGAGGACUGGCAGUCCGAAGCACCUUCUUUCCCCGUAAGGACAUCCACAAAACCACCUAGAGAUCACCUGACCAACGUAUAGCAAAUCAAAUUGAUCAUGUUCUCAUCGACGGCCGGUUCUUCUCAGACAUUACAAACGUACGUACCUAUUGCGGUGUGGAUAUUGGUUCGGACCACUACCUAGUUGCGGUAUCAUUGCGCUCAAAACUGUCGACAGUAUACCACGCACGACAUCGCCGAACCCCGCGGCUCAACAUUAAGCAGCUCCGGAACUCCCAGGCUGCGGAGGAAUACACGCAACAGCUUGAAGCGGUGCUACGGCGAGGGACUGGGCGCAUUGCCUCUCGAAGACGGCUGGUGCAGCAUUCACACAGCUAUCGUGGAGACCGCAACGGCGAUACUAGGAGUGGAAGCACCGAGUGGCAGAAACGACUGGUAUGACGGGGAGUGCGAGGCAACGGUGAUUGAGAAGAACCGGACCUGGGCGAUAUACCUGGGCAGGUCAACGAGAGAGAACAAGGCAAAUUACAAACGGGCACGGAACGACAUGACCACGAUUCUCAGACGAAAGAAGCGCCAGCAAGAGGAUCGUGAGCAUGAGGAGCUGGAGCAGCUAUACCGUGCCAGUGAAACGCGGAAAUUCUAUGAGAAGGUAAACCAGUCCUGCAGAGGCUAUGUGCCGCAAGCCGACAUGUGCAACGACGCGGACCUUCUCACGGAUGCCAGCGAGGUGGUCGACAGGUGGAAGGAGUACUUCGAUGGACACCUGAAUGGCGAAACAGUAAUCAGAAGCGGAGCAGGAACUGACCUAGGAGCACCAGCAGCGGAUGACCGAGUAACAGCCCCCGAUAUUCACGAGGUUCUUUGUGAGAUCGGGAAGCUGAAGAACAAUAAAGCCGCAGGCAAAGACGGACUGCCGAGCGAGCUCUUGAAACAUGGAAGAGAGCGCUGGCUAGAGCGCUGCACUGGGUCAUUUCCAGGAUUUGGGAGGAGGAAAAACUGCCAGACGAGUGGAUGGAGGGAGUCAUCUGUCCCAUCUACAAGAAGGGCGACAAGCUGGAGUGCCGCAACUACCGCGGUAUCUCGCUUAUCAAUGCCGCCUACAAAAUACUCUCACAGAUCCUGUUCCGUCGUCUAUCACCUUUAACCAGGAGGUUCGUGGGUCAGUACCAAGCGGGUUUCAUGGGAGCUCGUGCCACCACGGACCAGAUCUUCGCAAUCCGACAGAUCUUACAGAAAUGUUGCGAGUACAACGUGCCCACACAUCACAUCUUCAUUGACUUCACGGCGGUCUAUGAUCUAUGGUCGAUCGAGAACAGCUAUGGCAGAUUAUGCACGACAACGGAUUUCCGGAUAAACUGACUCGAUUGAUCAGAGACACCAUGGCGCAAGUGAUGUGCUACGUGCGUGUUUAGGGGAUACUCUCGAGUCCCUUUGAAUCGCGCAGAGGGUUGAGACAAGGUUAUGGACUUUCCUGUUUGCUGUUUAACAUCGCCCUUGAGGGUGUGAUCCGGAGGGCGGGCAUCGACACGAGGGGCACAAUUUUCACAAGGUCGAGAUCACCGCCAUCACAAAAUUUAGCGCACUAGCUGAGAUAGUUCGAGACCCAAAAGAUGGGACUGAAUCGACCAUAACAGAUCGAAGAUCGAUAUCUAUCAGCAAAGUCAGUUUGAUGAACAAAAAAUACAAAUCAAAUUUGUAUCUGUUCGCAUUUUUUUAUGUGUUGUAGCCAUAGCCUACCGAUUCUUUAUGAUUUCUUUCUGCUUUGAAUAACUGAACUAUAAAUAACAUAUCAAAUGAACUCAAUAUAAUGUUUUCUUUAAAUUUCCAUAAAAUCUUUUGAAUUUGACAAGUGAACGAAAUCCUUCUGUGAAUUUUGGGACACUAUAUAGUUGGCACCAAUCAAACAGUUUCGCAAAAUCGAGCCAGAUUUAAUUAUUGAAUUGUCGCUUAGGAUGCAAUUUUCAAUCACCACACUGUAACAACAAUAUUUUUAUUAUUAUUACUUAUAUUUAAAUUCGAUUCUAGAAAUACAAAAUUAUACCUUUCUUCAACGAUGACAUUAUCCAUCAAAAUACUGGUGAGGAUUAGCACCUUGGGCUUGAUUACACAGUUCGCUCCUAUUGUGCUGGAUGUUAUUGAAGUUUUCUCAUGUAUUACUGUUUGUUCGCCAACUGCCGUUUUUGAUACUUGAUUCGAGUUGAUGUCACAAUUUGGUGCAAUCAAGGUCGUAACCGGGGAGUCCACAAUUGAGGAAAA